rnacentral:rRNA from 1 species
UACGUAGGGGGCAAGCGUUGUCCGGAUUUAUUGGGCGUAAAGAGCGUGUAGGCGGCCAGGUAGGUCUGCUGUGAAAACUCGAGGCUCAACCUCGAGACGUCGGCGGAAACCAUCUGGCUAGGAGUCCGGAAGAGGAGAGUGGAAUUCCUGGUGUAGCGGUGAAAUGCGCAGAUAUCAGGAAGAACACCCGUGGCGAAGGCGGGUCUCUGGGCAGUAACUGACGCUGAGGAGCGAAAGCGUGGGGAGCGAACAGG